UACGUAGGGUGCAAGCGUUAAUCGGAAUUACUGGGCGUAAAGCGUGCGCAGGCGGUUAUGUAAGACAGGUGUGAAAUCCCCGGGCUUAACCUGGGAACUGCAUUUGUGACUGCAUAGCUAGAGUACGGUAGAGGGACACGGAAUUCCGGGUGGAGUGGUGAAAUGCGUAGAGAUCCGGAGGAACACCAAAGGCGAAGGCAGUGUCCUGGGGAGUACCUGACGCUCAGGUGCGAAAGCCAGGGGAGCGAACGGG
rnacentral:rRNA from 1 species